CCUUAGAUGUUCUGGGCCGCACGCGCGCUACACUGACGGAGCCAGCGAGUACUUCCUUGGCCGAAAGGCCCGGGUAAUCUUGUGAAACUCCGUCGUGCUGGGGAUAGAGCAUUGCAAUUAUUGCUCUUCAACGAGGAAUCCCUAGUAAGCGCAAGUCAUCAGCUUGCGUUGAUUACGUCCCUGCCCUUUGUACACACCGCCCGUCGCUACUACCGAUUGAAUGGCUCGGCCCGUGCCCCCGCCCCGCCCGCCGCCGC
rnacentral:rRNA from 1 species